rnacentral:rRNA from 1 species
UACGUAGGGGGCGAGCGUUGUCCGGAAUCAUUGGGCGUAAGGCGCGUGUAGGCGGCCCGGUAAGUCCGCUGUGAAAGUCCAGGGCUCAACCCUGGGAUGCCGGUGGAUACUGUCGGGCUCGAGUCCGGAAGAGGCGAGUGGAAUUCCUGGUGUAGCGGUGAAAUGCGCAGAUAUCAGGAGGAACACCAAUGGCGAAGGCAGCUCGCUGGGACGUGACUGACGCUGAGACGCGAAAGCGUGGGGAGCAAACAGG